rnacentral:ncRNA from 1 species
CGGGAUAGUAUCCCGAAAGGAAUGUAGCUUAUCCAAGCUGAACCUUGAG